AGAUUGAACGCUGGCGGCAUGCUUUACACAUGCAAGUCGAACGGUAACAGGCCGCAAGGUGCUGACGAGUGGCGAACGGGUGAGUAAUGCAUCGGAACGUGCCCAGUCGUGGGGGAUAACGCAGCGAAAGCUGUGCUAAUACCGCAUACGAUCUAUGGAUGAAAGCGGGGGACCGAAAGGCCUCGCGCGAUUGGACGCGGCCGAUGUCAGGAUUAGCUAGUUGGUGGGGUAAAGGCCCACCGAAGGCGACGAUCUGUAGCUGGUCUGGAGAGGACGACCAGCCGACACUGGAACUGAGACACGGUCCAGACGUCCUACGGGAGGCAGCAGUGGGGAAUUUUGGACAAGUGGG
rnacentral:rRNA from 1 species